GACGAACGCUGGCGGCGCGCUUAACACAUGCAAGUCGAACGGAAAGGCCUGCUUUCCCUUGUGGAUUGCGGGUACUCGAGUGGCGAACGGGUGAGUAACACGUGAGUGAUCUGCCCCCAACUUGGGUAUAAGCCUGGGAAACUGGGUCUAAUUCCCGAUAGGACUGCAGGGCGGUGCCUGUGGUGGAAAACGAUUUUCUAGUGGUUGGGGAUGAGCUCGCGGCCUAUCAGCUUGUUGGUGGGGUAAUGGCCUACCAAGGCGGGGACGGGUAGCCGGCCUGGGAGGGUGGACGGCAACAUUGGGACUGAGAUACGGCCCAGACUCCUACGGGAGGCAGCAGUGGGGAAUAUUGAACAAUGGGCGGAAGCCUGAUGCAGCGAGGCCGAGUGGGGGAUGACGGCCUUCGGGUUGUAAACUCCUUUCGACCGCGAGGAAGCCACCUGGUUGGAAGGGUGGUGACGGUAGUGGUAGAAGAAGCACCGGCUAACUACGUG
rnacentral:rRNA from 1 species